GUCCACGCCGUAAACGAUGAAUACUAGGUGUAGGGGUAUCGACUCCCUCUGUGCCGCAGUUAACACAAUAAGUAUUCCACCUGGGGAGUACGGCCGCAAGGUUGAAACUCAAAGGAAUUGACGGGGCCCGCACAAGCAGUGGAUUAUGUGGUUUAAUUCGAAGCAACGCGAAGAACCUUACCAGGACUUGACAUCCUCUGACGACUAUAGAGAUAUAGUUUCCCUUCGGGGCAGAGAGACAGGUGGUGCAUGGUUGUCGU
rnacentral:rRNA from 1 species